UCGAUUUUAUAUACAACAAUUGAUUUUCAAUAGACUUUUCUUUAAAAAUAUUUUGACAGUUAUCAAAAGCGGUACAAGUCGGAUCAAAACUUGAAAUAACGCUUUUGAUGUCGUCGUAGUGUUCAGAUAAAAAUAUAGCACUUUUAAACCAAGUUCCCCAUCUGGUUAAUACUGGUUCUGGUGGUAAAGGAAUAUCGGGAAGCAUCUCCCUAUAUACCUGUACACGUAGAGGUGCUUUCAGAAAUACUUUUUUUACAUUAUUUAUUAAGGUGUUUACAUUGUU
rnacentral:lncRNA from 1 species